AGUGAACGCUGGCGGCAGGCCUAACACAUGCAAGUCGAGCGGAAGCACGGUACGUGCUCCUGGUUUCGGCGGCGGAGGGGUGGGUAGUGGCUAGGAACAUGCGUGGUAGUGGUUGAGAACGUGCGGAAGUGGGCACUCAUACGGCAUAAGCCCUGACGGCGUACGUGGGGGAUCAUCGGACCUUACGCUAUCAGGUGAGCCUAGGUCGGGUUAGCUAGUUGGCGGGGUAAAGGCCUACCAAGGCGACGAUCCGUAACUGGUCUGAGAGGAUGAUCAGCCACACUGGAACUGAGACACGGUCCAGACUCCUACGGGAGGCAGCAGUGGGGAAUAUUGGACAAUGGGCGAAAGCCUGAUCCAGCCAUGCCGCGUGUGUGAAGAAGGUCUUCGGAUUGUAAAGCCCUUUAGUUGGGAAAGAAAGGCAGUAAGUUAAUACCUUGCUGUUUUGACGUUACCAACAGAAUAAGCACCGGCUAACUUCGUG
rnacentral:rRNA from 1 species